UACAGAGGUCCCAAGCGUUACUGAGAAUCACUGGGUUUAAAGGGUGCGUAGGUGGUCCGUUAAGUCAGUUGUGAAAUCCCCGGGCUCAACCCGGGAACUGCUUCUGAUACUGGCGGACUUGAGGCCAGUAGGGGUCACUAGAACUGACGGUGGAGCGGUGAAAUGCGUAGAUAUCGUCGGGAAUGCCGGUGGUGAAGACGGGUGACUGGGCUGGUUCUGACACUGAGGCACGAAAGCGUGGGGAGCGAACGGG
rnacentral:rRNA from 1 species